UUGAAUGCAUUUUUAUCAUUCAAUUCCUGUUAUGUGGUUAUGGUAUCAAACCAGUAGCAAGUGAAGACAAAAUAUGUCGACAAGGUUUCAGUUUAGAAAUGUCCAAUGGUAAUUGGUCUUAUAAAUUACAAGAUGCGACGAAAGGCCAUCAUCAAAUGAAAAAUAUAAAGUGAAAUUAUGGAACUACUCGGCAUAUCUAUCUAAUGAUAAAUGAUUUGGAAGUUGGAGACAUAAGCUGUAAUUCAUCCACAUGAUUGGCUAGAAACUUAACUCGAUCCGAAUGGGCCGCUUUACUAUGUAUCUUGGCGAGCAGAUUUCAAAGUACUCUCUUUUGGUCUUCUGGACCAAUACACUGAAAGGAAACAGCUUGACCUUCAAGUACAAGAAAAUAUCGAUAACUGCACAAUCGACAAUGCUAAACACGAUUUGACAAGCUUAAUUGUAAAAGCAUUUAUUGAAAAUUUAAAAGUAUUGUUUUUAAACAAAAUAACAAUAAUGAAAAUUUAAAUUUAUGCUUUGUAUCUAAGUUUGAAUGGUUUCAAAAUAGUCCGUGGUUUAUUUUGAAGAAACAUUUUGGCAUACCGUUCCAGGAAUUUGGAUACAAGUGUUGUCAUUAUUAUAAUGGAUCUGUUUGCUGUGAUCAUAAAUUAAAAAGAAUCGAGGGCUAUAGACUGGUUCCCUAUAUUAUUUCUAUCAUAUUGUUUUGAUAUACCCCUUUUAUUCUGGUAAAAUUAGGUAAUAUCAACUGCGAGACUCAUCCUGCAAAUUGGCAUAACUCUAGUGAAAUUGAUUCAAACACAAGUAGAACUGAUAA
rnacentral:lncRNA from 1 species